rnacentral:rRNA from 1 species
UAUAAUGCAAGUCGAGCGGACAGAUGGGAGCUUGCUCCCUGAAGUCAGCGGCGGACGGGUGAGUAACACGUGGGCAACCUGCCUGUAAGACUGGGAUAACUCCGGGAAACCGGGGCUAAUACCGGAUAAUUCUUUCCCUCACAUGAGGGAAAGCUGAAAGAUGGUUUCGGCUAUCACUUACAGAUGGGCCCGCGGCGCAUUAGCUAGUUGGUGAGGUAACGGCUCACCAAGGCAACGAUGCGUAGCCGACCUGAGAGGGUGAUCGGCCACACUGGGACUGAGACACGGCCCAGACUCCUACGGGAGGCAGCAGUAGGGAAUCUUCCGCAAUGGACGAAAGUCUGACGGAGCAACGCCGCGUGAGUGAUGAAGGUUUUCGGAUCGUAAAACUCUGUUGUUAGGGAAGAACAAGUACCGGAGUAACUGCCGGUACCUUGACGGUACCUAACCAGAAAGCCACGGCUAACUACGUGCCAGCAGCCGCGGUAAUACGUAGGUGGCAAGCGUUGUCCGGAAUUAUUGGGCGUAAAGCGCGCGCAGGCGGUUCCUUAAGUCUGAUGUGAAAGCCCCCGGCUCAACCGGGGAGGGUCAUUGGAAACUGGGGAACUUGAGUGCAGAAGAGAAGAGUGGAAUUCCACGUGUAGCGGUGAAAUGCGUAGAGAUGUGGAGGAACACCAGUGGCGAAGGCGACUCUUUGGUCUGUAACUGACGCUGAGGCGCGAAAGCGUGGGGAGCAAACAGGAUUAGAUACCCUGGUAGUCCACGCCGUAAACGAUGAGUGCUAAGU